rnacentral:rRNA from 1 species
CAGCCGCCGCGGUAAAACGGAGGGGGCUAGCGUUGUUCGGAAUUACUGGGCGUAAAGCGCACGUAGGCGGCUUGGUAAGUUAGAGGUGAAAGCCUGGAGCUCAACUCCAGAAUUGCCUUUAAGACUGCCGAGCUAGCAGGUGAGAGAGGUAAGUGGAAUUCCGAGUGUAGAGGUGAAAUUCGUAGAUAUUCGGAAGAACACCAGUGGCGAAGGCGGCUUACUGGCUCAUACUGGACGCUGAGGUGCGAAAGCGUGGGGAGCAAACAGGAUUAGAUACCCGAGUAGUCCCUGUCUCUUAUAC